rnacentral:sRNA from 1 species
AAAAUUUGAACAAAAAAAAUUGAAAGAAAAAAACUAUAAACCGUAGUUGGGAAUUGCCUUCGUCUGGAAGUUGGCAAACGUUGCAGGCAGCCAGCGACGCCCACUUUUGGCACUGAAUUUUGUGGCAGCAACACAGGAGCAGGGCAGCCACAAACUUAUUAAUUUAACAAUUACAAAAUAAAUUGUGAGUGCGCCAAUUAAUUUGCGGUCGGUGAAGAUACACACAAAAGAGGGUAAGGACGGGCACAAUUCGGUAGGAAGAUGAAAAAGUCGUCAGCAUCAUUAGGUGACAUUUGUGUUACUUUCCAUUGACGUUAAUUGUUGACCCUUGGAAUAAUUUUACCAUUCCGAUCCCAGAGAAACUAUCUGGCAAACAACAACAAAACCAUUAACAUGAAAUUACAAGGAAUAAAUAAAGUAGAUUCCUGUUUUGGGCUUUCUUGGGCUCGGAAGCCAGCCCAAAUUUAUAGGCAACAUAAAAUGGGAGCAGACAAUGCCAAUAACAAUAAACGAAAAUAAAGUUUAUGACCGUGCUAAACACAACGGCGAGCCGGAAAAUGCCCAACAGAACUAUAGAUGAACAGAUA